AUGAGGCCGCCAGGUCUUGGUGUCGUCCUCCUUGCGAGGCUUGGCCCCUCGCGAGGGUCUUGUGUUGUUGCUGCCAAACUGGGCCCUACCGGGCCGCUGAUGGAGCCAUGCUACGGGCCGCACGCAGGCAAGUCUGGCACCCCCGGCCCCAUAACACCGACAAUAGCCCCCAGGCCCAAGGCGCGCUCGAGCUUGGCUUCGAGGCGAAGCCAAAGGGCAAGUGCGGAGCACCGCGGGCCCCAACCGCCUGCGGCCUCGGUCGACGCGUGGCGAUUGAUGGGAUGUGGGCAUCUCCGCUUCCCCACGCUGCCUCAGCAACCGUCCGACUUGACGAGACGCCGCUGCAUGCAAAGGGAAAAUCAUCAUUACAUGCGAUCGUGGUGA
rnacentral:rRNA from 1 species